AUCAAAUAACGGUACACACACAAACACAUGUCAAUCAACUUGCUUGGCAACGGAUAAAUAAAUUGUUUAUUUCGCGUCUGAGGAGGUGUAUUUAUCUUACACACUGAUCAUACGAGGCAUAGCGUGUUCCGGUGGCGAGACGCGCUAUUUUAAGAACAGCUAGGAGGGUAUUUGGGGAAGUGUUAAUAUUGCGGAUCGUGGAUAAUGGGCGUGCUGGAUUCGGUGAGGGGCUUUCUGUAUUUCUGGUAUCUACAGUAUACACUCAACACCAGUAUUUAUAUGCUGGAACCUCUGGAACAAGCUCUCUUCAAUAUAUUUUUAGUGUCUCUCCUAUCUAUAAGUGCCUACACAUUCUAUGUAUUUGUACCAAUUCAUGUUGUCCAGAUUUACGAACUUGUAUUCGGUCUCCGAUCUUCGUCUUAAGCAACUGAUCUCUGUAUUUCAACAUCUGAAGCCGGUUUUCUUGCCGAGAGUUGGUAUUUACAAUGGUUUUACAUGCAUAGGCACACGGAAGGACAGGAAACAAACAUCUAGUUACAUUAACAGGAUAUAUACGGUGUACGACAUGUAACUGACAUUUCUUGCGAAUUACAUGUACUGUGUUUUUGUAUGUUUGUAAUUGUUUGAGAACAAUUAUGGAUGUGUUUGGGUAUAUAUCCAUAGAAUUAUGGCAACAGAACGUAUUUGCUUGGCUGCUUGUAUUUAUAGUACGAUUCUCCUAAAAUGUGUUCAUUUUAUUAAGUAUUAUGAAAAUGUUGAAUAUGUUAUUUAAAAAGAAACAUUAAUAAAAUGUUAAAUGUUUUA